GAGGGGUCCAUCCCGGAUUACCAAUCUCAGAUAAACUCCGAAUGCCAACGAGAUAUAAUCGGCAGUCAGACUGCGAGUGCUAAGAUCCGUAGUCGAAAGGGAAACAGCCCAGACCACCAGCUAAGGCCCAAAAUAUAUGUUAAGUGGAAAAGGAUGUGGGGUUGCACAGACAACUAGGAUGUUAGCUUAGAAGCAGCUAUUCAUUCAAAGAGUGCGUAAUAGCUCACUAGUCGAGUGACCCUGCGCCGAAAAUGUACCGGGGCUAAAACAUAUUACCGAAGCUGUGGAUGACACAAAAGUGUCAUGGUAGGAGAGCGUUCUAUGUGUGAAGAAGGUGUACCGUGAGGAGCGCUGGAACGCAUAGAAGUGAGAAUGCCGGUAUGAGUAGCGCAAGACAGGUGAGAAUCCUGUCCACCGUAAGACUAAGGUUUCCAGGGGAAGGCUCGUCCGCCCUGGGUUAGUCGGGACCUAAGGAGAGACCGAAAGGUGUAUCCGAUGGACAACAGGUUGAUAUUCCUGUACUAGAGUAUAUAGUGAUGGAGGGACGCAGUAGGCUAACUAAACCAGACGAUUGGAAGUGUCUGGUCAAACAGUGAGGUGUGAUAUGAGUCAAAUGCUUAUAUCUUUAACAUUGAGCUGUGACGAGGAGCGAAGUUUAGUAGCGAAGUUAGUGAUGUCACACUGCCAAGAAAAGCUUCUAGCGAUACAUAUACUCUACCCGUACCGCAAACCGACACAGGUAGUCGAGGCGAGUAGCCUCAGGUGAGCGAGAGAACUCUCGUUAAGGAACUCGGCAAAAUGGCCCCGUAACUUCGGGAGAAGGGGCGCUGAUUUUAGAUCAGCCGCAGUGAAUAGGCCCAAGCAACUGUUUAUCAAAAACACAGCUCUCUGCUAAAUCGUAAGAUGAUGUAUAGGGGGUGACGCCUGCCCGGUGCUGGAAGGUUAAGAGGAGUGCUUAGCGUAAGCGAAGGUAUGAAUUGAAGCCCCAGUAAACGGCGGCCGUAACUAUAACGGUCCUAAGGUAGCGAAAUUCCUUGUCGGGUAAGUUCCGACCCGCACGAAAGGCGUAAUGAUUUGGGCACUGUCUCAACGAGAGACUCGGUGAAAUUUUAGUACCUGUGAAGAUGCAGGUUACCCGCGACAGGACGGAAAGACCCCAUGGAGCUUUACUGCAGUUUGAUAUUGAGUAUCUGUACCACAUGUACAGGAUAGGUAGGAGCCUAUGAUAACGGGACGCCAGUUUCGUUUGAGGCGUUGUUGGGAUACUACCCUUGUGUUAUGGCUACUCUAACCCAGAUAGGCAAUCCCUAUCGGAGACAGUGUCUGACGGGCAGUUUGACUGGGGCGGUCGCCUCCUAAAAGGUAACGGAGGCGCCCAAAGG
rnacentral:rRNA from 1 species